rnacentral:rRNA from 1 species
CACCAUGGGAGUUGUUUUCAUUUUAAGACGUGACUCUAACCGCAAGGAGGAGAGCGUCUACAGUGGGAGCGAUGACUGGGUGAAGUCGGUAACUGGGGCU